AGCAAUACAGAGACUGAGCGUUCACCUACCUUGGCAGCAUACUUAGCAAAGAUGGAGGCGCAGAUGAAAAUGUAAGAAGCCGAAUAAAGAAAACGAACUAUUCUUAUAUCUGACCUCUUCAAGAGGUGGACAAGCAAACAUAACUGUCUCUAUAUCUGACCUCUCCAGCAGCUACAAGUCAAUCUCUUGACUGUCCCCAUAGUUUCGCAAUGAACUGACUGUAGCACUCCAAGACAAAACUGACAGUCAUCGGCUCCCAAGAGACGAAACUUUUUUUUUUAUUCAUCAGCAAGCAUCUGUUGCAGCAACUUUUUGACAGUUGGAUGUAAACAGCAGGCUACCUGUUGUGGUGGGACAGUCGCCACGACUACCUGAAGUCGCACCUGUUGUUUUCUCGGUGUUUGCCGCAGGUAAACUAGACCUGGUAUUUUGCUCGGCCACAGCCCGUGAACUGGCAUGGGGGACAUCAAUUAGCCGCCUGUCAGCAGCACAAAGCGAGGCGCAACUUCUGUACGCAUUGUGUAUAUACUCGCCCCGUGCAGGGCAGGUAAGUGAUGUCAGAACUGUCAAAGGAUCAUCUGCUGUUCGCGAAUAAAAAUCACCUGCUGCCAGGUUUUUUGCGGUGGACUACAGAUGGACAACGCACCUGCUGCUGACCACAACAUCACCAGAAAGCUGGAACAAAGACACGAUGGCAAUGGCAAGAUAAGACAACCAAGGACUUAAGUCUGAGGACCGGAAGUUGAAACUUGACAGGUUGAAUACCUCCACUAGUAUGUCUGAUGACAGGUGACAAGCAGGUUAGGACAGGUGAGACGAAAACUUGAAUGAGCAAAAUACAUCGUGCAUGUUUGAUGGCGAAAACUACAGACUCAACCAUUCCACUACCCACAGGGUUGCUGUCCUCCUCGCAGUCUGCUGGCUGACUUCUUUGACACCUGGAAUAUCCAGCAUCUCCAGGUGUAAGGUACACGUGUAUAAAGAAAUGUGUUCAGAACGUAUUCUGUCCACAGUGAACAGCACAUGAACACCACCAGCAGCUUUGAUU